rnacentral:rRNA from 1 species
UGCGUAGGAAGCUGCCCGAUAGAGGGGGAUACCAGUUGGAAACGACUGUUAAUACCGCAUAAUGUCUACGGACCAAAGUGUGGGACCUUCGGGCCACAUGCUAUCGGAUGCGCCUACGUGGGAUUAGCUAGUUGGUGGGGUAAUGGCUCACCAAGGCGACGAUCCCUAGCUGGUUUGAGAGGAUGAUCAGCCACACUGGGACUGAGACACGGCCCAGACUCCUACGGGAGGCAGCAGUGGGGAAUAUUGGACAAUGGGCGCAAGCCUGAUCCAGCCAUGCCGCGUGUGUGAAGAAGGCCUUCGGGUUGUAAAGCACUUUCAGUGGGGAGGAAGGGGUUGUAGUUAAUAGCUGCAAUUUUUGACGUUACCCACAGAAGAAGCACCGGCUAACUCCGUG